AAAUAAUGUGUUGCUGACAAGUGAGGAAAGACAGAGCUUCUUUGUAGCGGCUUCGCGGUGGAAGACGUCCACAUGGUCCUUCGUAAGAGCAGCGGGAAAAACAGCGAUAACGUAACGCGAUAAUUAAACUCCAAUUACACGGGGGGGGGUCAGAGGUCGGGAGCGACGGUAAGACCCGGAGAGGCCUUUUGUGUUUGUGCCGUUGGGAGGAUGUGGAACAGACGGCGUGCGGUGGAGCAUGUGGUCCCUGUAGGAUGUGUCCUGUGGCUCAAGGGCCCGCAGUCCUCCCAAAUCGAAGACUUGUCCAGCCGUCCUCGGUGGACAAAGAAUGCUGAACCACAGCCGCUCACUCCUCCAUCACGGCGGAGUCCUCCGCGCUGCUUCGCGUGAAGGGGAUUCGUGGCUGCGUACUGACACCCUGCGGCCGCUGACUGGUGGUGCAGGAGGUCUUCAUGAAGUCUCAU
ensembl:lncRNA